UACGAAGGGGGCUAGCGUUGUUCGGAAUCACUGGGCGUAAAGGGCGCGUAGGCGGCCGAUCAAGUCGGGUGUGAAAUCUUGGAGCUUAACUCCGAAACUGCAUUCGAUACUGCCGUGCUUGAGGACUGGAGAGGAGACUGGAAUUUACGGUGUAGCGGUGAAAUGCGUAGAUAUCGUAAGGAAGACCAGUAGCGAAGGCGGGUCUCUGGACAGUUCCUGACGCUGAGGCACGAAGGCCAGGGGAGCAAACGGG
rnacentral:rRNA from 1 species